rnacentral:lncRNA from 1 species
CUUGAACGCACGAACAAAACACCGCUAUUUGGAUAUAACUAUGGAUUAUUUGGAACCAAACCAACAUUUGUUGUUGAAGUAGAAGUCCUGGGAGUGCAUUCUGACGAAGAACAGCAAAGGUCCAGGACGUCCUCCACUCUCUCUUCUCCCGGGCCCAGGAUCCCUGCUCCUCCUGGACACGCUGCUUGGUCUUUUUGUGGUGGGAUCUUCUGUGGCGGCGUUCGUCGGAAGGGAGGAGACCAAGGUGCAGCGUGGAUGCACCUGAAACACCAUCCCCAGUGAUAAUGGCUCCAUAUCUGUCACUCACCUACUGUAGCUGGAGAAUUGGCGUGUGUUCCUGUCCUCGUCAGGCAUCCUGGGCCAAAUGCUGUCACUAUGUAAAACUAAACCUGAGAGAAACACUCUGCAGUGAUGGAACAGUGCCUUAUGAGAUGCAGCAGAGGUGAUAGGCUGUGAGUGUGAUACAGAUACAGGCCAAUGGAGGAGGUGAGCAAGGAGGUGAACGUGCCUUGUGUGUGCCCUGCCAGCUUGUGGCCUUGUGUCCUGCCAGCGUUGUCUGGCUGGUUAUUCAUGGCAGCAGGUGCUCUCCCUUAGCGGAAUGGGUCUCCAGCUUCUGUCCUCCAGGGCCUGAGGAACAAGGGACUCAUGACUCCACUGCACCUGAUCUCCUCCCCUGGCACCACUGGGCCGGUACCAGGCCACUGAUUAUGCAAAGCUUUUAGCAUGCAGAUAUGUUUUUGGGGGAAUGUAGCUUCUUUUGAAGGAAAAAAAUAUUUACGGGAACAAAGUUCCACAUCACACUAUAAUUUUCCCUUUGAUGUUUUAUGCACAGCGUUCCUUGGAGAGAGUUUGGGUGGUAGAGUGAGAGGGGCUCUGAGGAAAUGUAUUUUUCAUAGACCACUUAUAACGGGAAAAGCGCCAACAGGGGUUAAUUUUGACCCCAAGUGGUCAAAACCUUAUUUUUAUCCUUCUGAGAUUUUCGGACUUUAUCAACCAACUAGUUGCUGACCCAAAACAUAAUAAUUGACCAUGCUUUCUGUGUUAAUAUGGAGGAAUGAAAAAUUAUCUUAAUUUUCUAUACUAGUGGUGCAUGGCUAAGUUUAAAAUGUUGCCUCAGUAGUGCAUUUUGUGAUAAAAGCACCAAAUGUUGCACAGCUAUAUGUACCCUGACAACCCCAGAUUUUUUUUUUAUGUACAUAAAUUAAUCUCCAGCCAAGAAAAAAUGUAAAUACAGUUUGUAAUCUGGAAGAGAUUCAUUUGGUACACAUUAAUAGAAAUCAAAUGCACAAUAUAUUUUAGAGAUUGUCAUGCUCUAUGAGGAGUUCUCCAGAAUCUCACUUAAAGCAUUUCAAUGGCUCUACUGUGAACAACAUAGGUCAAUCAUACAAUAAACAUUCAAACAACAAACCACUGCCAGAAAAUCCUGAAUUGAUAUGUGAAUAUAAACAGCAAUGUAACUCAUAUAAUCCAAUUACCUGAUUAUUUGAUUCUGCGUUUAUUAAAUCAGAGUUUUACUGUAAGUGUGAAUCUCAACUGUAAAUUCAGCCCUAAAACAAUUAUCACAGUAACACAUCAACCCCUAACUCCCUCCCAUCUACUGAAACAGACCAAGGGAAGAUUGGCUGCAGUUUUACCAUGUUUUACAUUGAUGUGAUUAAUUGUAUGGCGCUCAAUCAAUCGAUCUGUUCCUUUUCUUCCUCUCCCUCUCUAUCCCUCUCUAUCCCUCUCUUAGCUUCCAGUCAAUGUUUAUAUACCAAUUUGAGAGUAUCAUCUUUCAGCUGCGAUUGGAACUGAGUUGACAGCCCACAGUGUUCCAAAGUUAGAGCAAAAAUUCUGAUGGCACUGGCGCCAAUGUUGCAUAUAUCACCAAAAACGGUGGCCAUCUUAGGUUGUAGCUCAAUCGCCAAUUCCUCAGCCUCUGAGAGUCACAUAAACAACGCUUUCUGUAGGACAGACGCUGGAAGACGAGAAGCAAGUAUAGGGAGUGAACAUUAAAUGAAUAACUGACAAGAAACAAACAAGGACAGCGUCUGAACAGGGGAAACAUAACGACAAUAAUGCUUACACGGGGAACAAACUUAGGAACAGACAGAUAUAUGGCAAUCAACAAAGUGAAGGAUUCCAGGUGAGUCCAAUAUUGCACUGAUGUGUGAAAUGAUGGUGACAGAUGUGAGUAGUGAUGGGCAACCUGGUGCCUUCGAGCACCAGGGAGUGGGAGCAGACAUGACAGCUUUCAAUGAAUAACAGAAACAUGUUCAUGACAAGUUGCUAUGGAUGGAAUUUAUCAAAAUAAUAUAUGCUUAUUUUGGGGAAAUAAAACCAAUAACUUGUGUUACAAAAGGUUAAUAAAAGGAAACGUGUUACCUGCUUGACAGACACUAACCACAUUUCCAUCCAUAGAUUUCCUGCGAAUAAAGUCCUACCGUAUUUAAAAGAAA